GCUGCAUCAUUGCCUCUCCCUUUCCCCGCCCAUUCUCAGGUGAGCUGAUGGGGCUGGGAGCAGUGUUCAUGCCACCACUUUCCCAGGAUCUCUCUCAAGAGCGCAUGUUGGAUUUCCUUCUCCUUGGGGCCUGGGGAUGGCUGCGGGACCAGCUAAAGAGGAGAGGGCUUGCCUCUCCUUGGGGCCUGGGGUGCACACUGACAUUUCAUGGUUGCCCAUGAGGCUGAAGCUGAAGAACAUGAUUGUCACUUGGUGACCCCGAUGACCCUGAAGGGAACGCCCCUCCCCAAGCUUCAGGGGAACGGUACUGAUUUCUGGCUCACUCACCAGAGGCUCACCUUCAGCCUUUUAUUACUUUGCUUGUAUGCCCGAGCCCCCAACAGCCUGAAUCCUCGGCUUGCGUGGCUGGGGUCGGGACGUGGGACACAAAUUCAUGAACAAGGAAAGAACCACAGCCACUGGAUACAAAAGCCAAGUGGGAUAUCUGGUCCAGGUGACUCUCUCCAAAGCAAACUCCUUCCACACACAAGGAGAUGGAUAUCCACGGUGAUCCUGAGGAUGGGUGAAAAUCUAUUGGAAUAUUUAUGAACUAUUUUAUGCUUCAACUACUACAGUGUUGCAACAAUAAUGGCCGUUGCUUUUGAGCACUUACUAUGCGCUAUGCACUGUGCUAAGAGCUGUUAGCCCCAACUAAGCUACCACAAAACUUACCAAGAAGUGUGGGGAAAGGCUUGCUAACACGUGUUGCAGUCACAAGCUGGCUACCUGAGUGAUGCUUAAGUGUUGCUGGUAUCCAUGAAGCACAGACCUUUAAGGAAAAGGAAAAGGAAAAAGAAAAAAGAAAAAAAAAAAAAAAAGGAGACCAGAGGGAAUACUCCUACCUUUCCCAUCACCGGACAACAGUCUCACCUGGUUGGUAGAAGUCAGGCGACAGCUCCCUGGCCACAGCUCUUGCGAUGUCACACUCCUGGCGGGCCGCCUGGGCAGCCUGGUCGGCGGCGUCAGCUUUCGCUCUUGCGUGUGCAGUCCUACACGGGGCACAAAGGGCGAGUCAGCAAGGGCAGCACCUUGUUAAUUACCCACGGACAAGCAUGCUGUCACUGCACUCAUGGCCCCACGCCUCCUCCGACUGCAAGUUUUAGGGUCAUAGUGCUAUGAGCUAUCCGUGAAGAGAAUAUACAGGUGGAUGGAACCACCUGUGUACUGCCUCAGUCCUCCUUUCAAGGGAAAUGGAAGGGAAAUGGAAGGGUGAGCAAGUUCCGCGCAGCUUGAUGCAAAGCCUGGUUUUCAAAACUUCCCGGAUCAAAAAUCUCCUGCUGACUUUGGUUGGCAGCUUCCCCCGCAUGGUUUGUGGGGAAGAGUUAAAGCUUGUGAAUAUAGUGUUCAUGAAUUUCAUUCCUAUGGCAGAAUCUAUAUAAGAAUUUGAUUAAGAAGGAUCUCCCCAGGAGCAUGCUGAAUAAAAUAACUCUGGAAAAAAAGUAGUAAAACUCUGAUCUGUAGCCUUGAUUUCCAUGGUUAAAUACUCCCUCUAUGAGCAAUUCAAGUGGCUGGCGUGACGUCACUGAAUGUGUAGUUGGGAAGAGGCGCGCACAAUGGCUGUCACCAGCCUGUGGAAGCAGAACGUGGGGUCUGCGCUUAGGAAUGUGCUCGGGAGGUUCGAAGGAGUGCAUCUAACUUUAUUUUUUGUGUGAAACAAGGAGACAGAGGUGGGGAGGAGGAAACAGUGGUUCAGUCUUCCACCUGCCCCUCGGCCCACCUCAUUCAUGAAACCUCUUCUCUUUCCAGAAGACUAGGCUGAGGGAGCAGGCAGCCGGGUAGAGAAUGGGGCUUCUUAUGGCAAGACAAGAGAACUGAUGUCCACCUGCCCAAGAAGAGAGGAUUUAGAGGGUAAGACAGAGGACUCUAGGUCAUCCCCUUCCAAAGAAGACCUCGUGCAGUUAGUAUUUAGAAGAUAAUCAUGGGCCUCUAUUUCUUAUGAUUUGGGUAACUUUCUAUUCUAUUUCAUCAGCACCAGGCAGGGCUAUAAAUAACUAGUAGUAAAAGCGUGAUGAAAGUCUGAAAGAGGUGCUUACACUUAUUUCAGAAACAGCAAGAGAGGAAAAGUUGGGAAAUAACGUUGUACCCUAAGCAGUUCUUAGGAGAGAAAACGCAGGUGGCAGCUGGAGGAGGCAGGCAGACGGAAUCCCUGAGACUAGCCGCAGGAAGGAAGCAGGGAAGAUGGGGUCUGACCUGAGACGGAGGUGGGGGCUAACUGGCAGGAGGUCCCAUUCCCAAAUUCUCCAACUACCUCCUCUCAUUCUGUGUCACUCCUCCUUAGGACAUAGUCAACAUUGGAGGCUGGAAGUACUAGAAUGUAAGCUUUAUGAAGAUUUGGAUUUUAUAUUUCUGGUGUUCUGCUAUAUUCCCAACAUGUACGACAUUGCCUGGCACCCAGGCAUGGGUGUGUACUUAGGGCUCAUUUUACGAAUAAAGGAACGUCCUUAGGAACAGCUGGGUAGUUACUUAAAAAUGAAUAGAUUGACAAAACUAUAGAGCCGGUAAAAAGAUCCGUGGUUGCCAAGGGUUCAGGGUAAAAGUGGGGGAGGGAUGAACAGGUGGAGCACAGGAGAACCUUAGAGCAGCAAAACUACUCUGUAUGACACCGUAAUGGGGGCUCCAUGCCAUUAUGCACGUGUCAAAACCCACUAGACAGUACCACACACAGAGGGAGCCCUAAUGUCAACUACGGACUUUAGUUAUACUAACACAGUAAUACUGGCUGAUCAAUUGUACCAAAAGUACCCACUAGUGCAAGGUGUUCACAAUAGGGGAAACUGUGUGGGUGUGGGGACAGGAGGUGUGUAUGGGAACAAACUCUGUACUUUCUGCUCAAUUUUUCUGUAAAUUUAAAACUACUCUA